rnacentral:rRNA from 1 species
GACGAACGCUGGCGGCGUGCUUAACACAUGCAAGUCGAACGAUGAAGCCGGAGCUUGCUCUGGUGAAUUAGUGGCGAACGGGUGAGUAACACGUGAGUAACCUGCCCUUGACUCUGGGAUAACUGCGGGAAACUGUAGCUAAUACCGGAUACGACCCUCGGAGGCAUCUCCUGGGGGUGGAAAGAAUUUCGGUCAAGGAUGGACUCGCGGCCUAUCAGCUAGUUGGUGAGGUAAAGGCUGACCAAGGCGACGACGGGUAGCCGGCCUGAGAGGGUGACCGGAGACACUGGGACUGAGACACAGCCCAGGGUCGUACGGGAGGCAGCGGCGGGGAAUAUUGCACAAUGGGGGCAAGCCUGAUGCAGCAGCGCCGCGUGAGGGAUGACGGCCUUCGGGUUGUAAACCUCUUUUAGCAGGGAAGAAGCGAAAGUGACGGUACCUGCAGAAAAAGCACCGGCUAACUACGUGCCAGCCGCCGCCGUAA